rnacentral:rRNA from 1 species
CGCACGGGCGCGUAACGCGUGGGAAUCUGCCCCUUGGUUCGGAAUAACAGUUAGAAAUGACUGCUAAUACCGGAUGAUGUCUUCGGACCAAAGAUUUAUCGCCAAGGGAUGAGCCCGCGUAGGAUUAGCUAGUUGGUGAGGUAAAAGCUCACCAAGGCGACGAUCCUUAGCUGGUCUGAGAGGAUGAUCAGCCACACUGGGACUGAGACACGGCCCAG